rnacentral:rRNA from 1 species
AUAAACGCUGGCGGCGUGCAUGAGACAUGCAAGUCGAACGGACGAUCAGGGCUUGCUCUGAUCGUUAGUGGCGGACGGCUGAGUAACGCGUAGGUGACCUGCCUCGAAGUGGGGGAUAACUGCCCGAAAGGGUGGCUAAUACCGCAUGUGGUGGUUCGUUCAGUCGAACCAUCAAAGCAGUAAUGCGCUUCGAGAGGGGCCUGCGUCCGAUUAGCUCGUUGGGGGGUAACGGCUCACCAAGGCGACGAUCGGUAGGUGGUCUGAGAGGACGAUCACCCAGACUGGGACUGAGACACGGCCCAGACUCCUACGGGAGGCAAC